UGAAUGUUGGUACAGCUUGUACAGGAUAGGUAGGAGCCUUGGAAACCGGAGCGCCAGCUUCGGUGGAGGCAUCGGUGGGAUACUACCCUGGCUGUAUUGACCUUCUAACCCGCCGCCCUUAGCGGGCGGGGAGACAGUGUCAGGUGGGCAGUUUGACUGGGGCGGUCGCCUCCUAAAAGGUAACGGAGGCGCCCAAAGGUUCCCUCAGAAUGGUUGGAAAUCAUUCGCAGAGUGUAAAGGCACAAGGGAGCUUGACUGCGAGACCUACAAGUCGAGCAGGGACGAAAGUCGGGCUUAGUG
rnacentral:rRNA from 1 species